rnacentral:sRNA from 1 species
AUGGUCCCAGCUGAAGAUGUCCAUGAGUGCCAUACUUUAGAAAGUCCCCAGUGGAAGAUUUCCAGAGAGUCCGAGGAGAAAGCUGAUCUCAGUGGACUCAAGAAGUGUCUCCCUCCUCCCCCUGGAGUUCCGCAAAGACUCGAGCUAUGAGCUGCAGGUGCGGGCAGGGCCCAUGCCUGGCUCCUCCUACCAGGGGACCUGGAGUGAGUGGAGUGACCCGGUCAUCUUUCAGACCCAGUCAGAGGUUAAAGGAAGGCUGGAACCCUCACCUGCUGCUUCUCCUCCUGCUUGUCAUAGUCUUCAUUCCUGCCUUCUGGAGCCUGAAGACCCACCCAUUGUGGAGGCUAUGGAAGAAGAUAUGGGCCGUCCCCAGCCCUGAGCGGUUCUUCGUGCCCCUGUACAAGGGCUGCAGCGGAGACUUCAAGAAAUGGGUGGGUGCACCCUUCACUGGCUCCAGCCUGGAGCUGGGACCCUGGAGUCCAGAGAUGCCCUCCACCCUGGAGGUGUACAGCUGCCACCCACCACAGAGCCCGGCCAAGAGGCUGCAGCUCACGGAGCUACAAGAA